rnacentral:misc_RNA from 1 species
UCCGGGUUGGUCCCGGCGGUCCGGCCAGACCUGGUAACUGGCCGCGGGGGUUGCGCUCGUUGCGGGACUUAACCCAACACCUCACGGCACGAGCUGACGACAGCCGUGCAGCACCUGUGCACGCUCCCUUGCGGGUCCUCCCCCUUUCAGGGUCGUACCACGUGCAUGUCAAGCCCAGGUAAGGUUCUUCGCGUUGCAUCGAAUUAAACCACACGCUCCGCUGCUUGUGCGGGCCCCCGUCAAUUCCUUUGAGUUUUAGCCUCGCGGCCGUAGUCCCCAGGCGGGGCACUUAUUGCGUUAGCGGCGGCACCGGGGGGGUCGAUACCCCCGACACCUAGUGCCCAUCGUUUACGGCGUGGACUAC